rnacentral:misc_RNA from 1 species
GUGAAUGGUUAUCCCCAAGCAUGUCACAUAUCUUGUGGGUGUGUUUGGUAUCCUGUAUUGAUUACCAAAGCAACGGUAAUAAGUGUUUUUGACCCAUACAUUGAAUGGUGGCNUGUGAAGGUGUUAGUUGGACAAAAGGUUGGCCCCGUGCUCCUAGCAUUCAUUGUGAUCUUGCAAUGGCACAUGGGGUUAUUCUCGUUCUUAUUGAUGCGGACCAUUAUAUGUACUGGCGAAGUGGUUAUAGCCUAUCGUCUUUUGCUUUAUGCACUUGUUCCUUGAUGCGAACGACGACCACAUUCGUCUUGGGGUUUUCUAUAACUCCAUGCGGGUGAAGGUGUCGUGUACGAAUGC